AGUGGGUUAGAAGUAAACAUGAGUUGUCGUCUCAUAUUUAACUUCGUUGAGGCGUUCAAUCUGUUGGUUCAUUCGAGACGUGAGUUUUCGUAAAAAUUAUUUACGAUCUUUCGGGAACGUUGAGAUAUGAACGGAGAGACAUGUUUUAGGAUCUCGUAUCAUUUAGAUGUUUCGGGAACGUUGAGAUGUCUGAGACCAAUGCGAUGGGUUUAGGGCAAGACCUAGGUUUACUCUCGGUUUUAAGGUUUGUGCGGUGACUAGCCGGCUAUUGGUUUUCCUGUUGCGAUUUCUACCUGAUUCGUAUCGAUUUAAAGUCCGCGAUAGGUUCUCGGCUUAUACGACUUGUAUGGUACGAAUCGAGCAUCUUUCCAGAGACAAUUUUUAAGCCAACUGGGAGUGCUAGAC
rnacentral:lncRNA from 1 species